AACGAACGCUGGCGGCAGGCCUAACACAUGCAAGUCGAGCGAGGACUUCGGUCCUAGCGGCGGACGGGUGAGUAACGCGUGGGAACGUGCCCUUUGCUUCGGAAUAGCCCUGGGAAACUGGAGUAAUACCGAAUGUGCCCUUAGGGGGAAAGAUUUAUCGGCAAAGGAUCGGCCCGCGUUGGAUUAGGUAGUUGGUGGGGUAAUGGCCUACCAAGCCGACGAUCCAUAGCUGGUUUGAGAGGAUGAUCAGCCACACUGGGACUGAGACACGGCCCAGACUCCUACGGGAGGCAGCAGUGGGGAAUCUUAGACAAUGGGCGCAAGCCUGAUCUAGCCAUGCCGCGUGAGCGAUGAAGGCCUUAGGGUUGUAAAGCUCUUUCAGCGAGGAAGAUAAUGACUGUACUCGCAGAAGAAGCCCCGGCUAACUCCGUGCCAGCCGCCGCGGUAAUAC
rnacentral:rRNA from 1 species